GACGAACGCUGGCGGCGUGCCUAAUACAUGCAAGUAGAACGCUGAAGGAGGAGCUUGCUCUUCUGGAUGAGUUGCGAACGGGUGAGUAACGCGUAGGUAACCUGCCUGGUAGCGGGGGAUAACUAUUGGAAACGAUAGCUAAUACCGCAUAAGAGUAGAUGUUGCAUGACAUUUACUUAAAAGGUGCAAUUGCAUCACUACCAGAUGGACCUGCGUUGUAUUAGCUAGUUGGUGGGGUAACGGCUUACCAAGGCGACGAUACAUAGCCGACCUGAGAGGGUGAUCGGCCACACUGGGAAUGAGACACGGCCCAGACUCCUACGGGAGGCAGCAGUAGGGAAUCUUCGGCAAUGGACGGAAGUCUGACCGAGCAACGCCGCGUGAGUGAAGAAGGUUUUCGGAUCGUAAAGCUCUGUUGUAAGAGAAGAACGAGUGUGAGAGUGGAAAGUUCACACUGUGACGGUAUCUUACCAGAAAGGGACGGCUAACUACGUG
rnacentral:rRNA from 1 species